ensembl:snRNA U6 U6 spliceosomal RNA
GUGUUCACUUCAGCAGCACAUAUACUAAAAUUAGAAUGAUACAGAGAAGAUUAGCAUGCCCCCUAUAUAAGGAGAAUACACAAAAUCAUGAAACAUUUCAUUUUUUU